GCGUGCGGACGUCAUUAUUCUUCGCGGCCAGUGAAAAAAAGAAUUAUUUUUAAUAGUAUGUUUGGUUAUUGAUAAGGUUAAACUUUGGAGAAAAGCAUAAAAAAAUAUAGAAAAAAUUGUAUAGUGUAGUUAUUGUUUUAAGACUUGAAAUAUAGAAAAAAUUGUAUAGUGUAGUUAUUGUUUUAAGACUUGAGUGUUGACUUGUUUCUUCGCGUGUGUUUGUGUUUGGUUUAAAAAUAAAACAACAAGUACAUACAUUUCGUAUCUUCGUAUAAACUAUAACAGGAAGCAGCAGCAGAACAGAAGGUCUGCUGUGCUCUGGUCCGGGCGUUUCGUUUGCGUGUAUAAAAGUUUUGCUAACCACAUAAACCCAUAUUCAUACAAUAACAUGCUGAUUGCUUGCGCAUGCGUUUUAUGGACAAAUCAAGCAUCCUGCAAUUAGCUUUCUGGGAGUCAGAAGCUGGACCUUGGCCAGGUCAACGCCGCCGCCAGCAACAGGCAGCAUGAAAAAAAGCAAACAUUUAACACACACAAACACACAUAAACACUACUAAAGAGAACAGAGUCGUCUCUCUCGAGCUUUCAAAGAUUUAACAUAGCAUCUCGUCCUUUGCCAUAUUCAUCCCUCACCAAAAUACAAGCAAUCAAACAAACACAAGAGCACCCACAUGAGCAGCAUGAGUCUGUGGAAGCGCAUCUCGAGCCAUGCCGACUGCGAGCAGCGCAUGGCGGCCUACUACAAUAAGAAGGGUCUCUAUGAGUUGCGCCUUUGCUUGGCGCCCUGGAUCGAAGACAGAAUAAUGUCAGAGCAAAUUACACCAAACUCAGCGGAACAAUUGGAGCGUGUGGCGCUCAAGUUUAACGAGGAUCUACAGCAGAAACUAUUGUCGACGCGUGCCAGUGAUCAGGCACUCAAGUAUCGCAUUGUUGAGCUCUGUGCGUUGAUUCAACGCACCCCGGCUGUUGAGCUUUAUUCACAUUUGCGCAGCGGCCUGCAAAAGGAGCUGCAGCUAGCCGCCGAGAAGAGCGCGGAUCAAUCAAUGCCGUUGAAUUCAUAUAAUAUGAAUAAUUCAGCCGCAGCGGCUGCCGCCACCGCUGUUGCCAUGAACGGUGGCGGUUAUAUGGAUGCCACCGAGCUGAUCAAUGUUGCUGCACUGGGUGGCACUUCAGCGGUCAAUAUGGCUGGGCCUGGCUUUUUGCCCAACGUUGGUGCCGGCGCAAAUGUUACAAGUCUGGGCCUAAACAUGCCCAUGGUUACGGCCAAGGUGGAACUGUUUGAGGUACACAAUGAGAUUCUGCAGGCCUACAAUGAGUUUACCACAUGCGCCAAAGGCGUCGAGGUGCUUAUACAGAGCUAUAGCUAUAUGCUCAGCUCACCCAAUACACCCGAGACGGAGACAUUCUGCAAGCGUGUAAUUGAGCAAAAGAACGCAUCGGUGUUGCGGCUGCAGCACAGCCUCAUGUCAUAUGAGAAGCUACAUGAUCUGGUUAUAGCAGAGCUGAACAACUGGCGACGCCAACAGGCGCUCGCCGGCAAUGGCGCUCAGUUCAGCGAGAACAGGCUGGAUGAGAUACAGCGCUGCUUUGACCUGCUCGAAGCGUUUGUCACACUCCUGCUGCAAACUAUUAAGGACGCUUUAUUACAUGUGCGCUUUCCCAACGAUCCGGAUCGCGAGCUCAACUGUCUGUUCGAGCAGGUGCAGAUGUUGCAAAAAAGUCUAGUCCUCUCCGCUUUCAUUGUGGACAAACAGCCGCCGCAGGUGAUGAAAACCAAUACGCGCUUUGCCGCCUCCGUGCGUUGGCUGCUCGGCUCACAAUUGGGCAUACACAGAAAUCCGCCGCAAGUCGAAUGCGUCAUUAUGUCGGAGCUGCAUUCGCAGCGUUUUGUCUCACGUGGCAGCACCAUGGAUGGCAACUUUGCCGGUCAGUCGUCGGGCGAGAUACAGAACUGCACCAGCACCAUGGAGUACCAGCAAAGCAAUCACGUCUUCUCGGCCAGCUUUCGUAAUAUGCAAUUGAAGAAAAUUAAGCGCGCCGAAAAGAAAGGCACCGAGAGUGUUAUGGAUGAGAAGUUUGCGCUGCUAUUCCAUGCCACAGCUACAGUCAGUGAUUAUCAAAUACGCGUUUGGACGCUGUCGCUGCCUGUUGUAGUCAUUGUUCAUGGCAAUCAGGAGCCACAGUCUUGGGCAACUAUUACCUGGGAUAAUGCAUUCGCUGAAAUUGUGCGUGAUCCGUUUGUCGUCACCGAUCGCGUCACUUGGGGCCAACUGUCUGUGGCGCUCAAUACCAAAUUUGGUUCCUGCACUCAACGCGCUCUAACCACCGAGAACUUGGAGUUCUUAUAUGAGAAAUUACAGCGCGAUAAUAUUGCUGGCGAGCGCAAUGAAUGCAUUUCAUGGAAUCAGUUCUGCAAGGAGCCAUUGCCCGAUCGUCAGUUUACCUUCUGGGAAUGGUUCUUUGCCAUUAUGAAGCUGACCAAAGAUCAUUUGCUGUCCAUGUGGCGAGCCGGCCGUAUUACGGGCUUCAUCAACAAGGCCAAAGCCCACGACGAUCUCAUGCGUGCCACCACUGGCAUUGGCACUUUCUUGCUGCGCUUCUCCGACAGCGAAUUGGGCGGCGUCACCAUUGCCUAUGUGAAUGAGUGUGGCUCAGUCACAAUGCUCUCGCCAUGGACCGCUCGCGAUUUCCAAAUACUCAAUCUGGCCGAUCGCAUACGCGACUUGGAAAUGCUGCGUUGCCUGCAUCCAACCGAUGUCAAUGUUUUGCCUUUGGAUCGUGAUUUAGCCUUUGGCGAAUUCUACACACAGCGUUCCGAGGCCACACCCCGCGUCGAUGGCUACGUACCCAGCACGAUACGAGUUCAGGUGCGCACCAGCGGCGAUACGGGCUCCAUCAGUGGAACGCCGCAUCAUUCAAUGCAGUCGCCUCCACAGGAUAGCAUGUCACUGGGAAAUUACUCUCCACAGAGUGGCAUCAGUUAUAAUCCAUCAAGCGUCGCAACUACAUACUAUAACAGAGAUGAUUCUGAUUCAGACGAUAGCAUUGUCGCUCGUGAGCUUGAACUUUAUGUUAACAAUCUCGCGCCAGAUGAUCCCAUGCUGGAUCAAAUAAGUCAAACGAUAUAUUAUGCGAUCGAAAGUCCAGCAUAUCCAGUGCCAUCGCCCUAUAACCAAACGGUGCCAUAUUGAUUGACUCAAAAUAAAGUAUAACUUGUGCGAGAGCUACUUACCGCAAGUGGUGGUGAUUUCCAAAUGACGGACUUUGAUACGAUGCAAAACUUUGUAUAUAACGAAUAUAAAUAAAUAUAUUAGUAUAUAUGAAAUGAAAUAUAUAUAUUUAUGUAUUACAAAUAUAUACAUAUAUAUUCAAAGUGAAAUGUGUAAUUGAACCGAGUCAAAAGUAAUAUUAAACAAAAUCAUAUAAAACGCUUGCAAAAGUGCCGCUAAAAUCGACGUCCAUUAGAUGUUUACAAUACGUAUCCAUGUAUAUGAUCCCACAAAUACACACACACAGACACAUACACAAAGAAACAAAGUUUUUAACGAUCGAACACUUCGACUUUUAAUCCAAAAUCUUGAACAAGAAAAAGAUAGCUAAAUAUGAUAUUGAUAUUUGUUAGACUUGGACUUGCUGGCAUGUGUUUUAUUUUUGCAUUUGUGAAAACGCCAAAUACGAACCAAGAAACAAAAAACGACGAGAGCAAUGCAUGAAAAUCUCUACAACAUUUAACACACUGAUUGAUAAUAUAUAUGUAUGUGUUUUAAAAUAAUGAAUUGUGUUAUUAUGCUUUUCCUUUUGAUGUAAACAAUUUUUUUGAUAGAGUUAAAAUGCAU